AGCUCCAAUAGCGUAUAUUAAAGUUGUUGCGGUUAAAAAGCUCGUAGUUGGAUCUCGGCAGGUAGGGGGCGGUUCGUUUCUGACGGCACUGCCCCAUUUACCUGUGUUUUUGCAAGAGGUCUCAAGGUGGCUUUAAUCGGCUGUCUUGGAACGCUUGCAGUUUUACUUUGAAAAAAUUAGAGUGCUCAAAGCAGGCUACAAAGCUUGAAUAUUUGUGCAUGGAAUAAUGGAAUAGGAAGUCGUUUCUAUUUUUUUGGUUUUCGGAAAUUGACUUAAUGAUUAAUAGGGACAGCCGGGGGCAUUAGUACUCAGACGACAGAGGUGAAAUUCUUGGACCGUUUGAGGACUAACUACUGCGAAAGCAUUUGCCAAGAGUGUUUUCAUUAAUCAAGAACGAAAG
rnacentral:rRNA from 1 species